ensembl:lncRNA
AGUCUCGAGAUUGCCUGACCAUGACACACUCCAUCAGAACUCAUCCCCACUGUUAAGCAAAGCAUGACUAUACCGCCUUGGAUUCUCCACGGUCCCAGACCUGAACUGUUUAGAUGACUGCACACGCAGAGGGCACCGUGUCUGAGGCAGAGAGCAGCUGGAAUCACAAAAGCUCUCGACAGAGAGUCAAGGAAAGGCGUGCUCUGCUUACACGACUCUCUACUUUUCUCUGGGUCUGAACCAUUUCCUAGCUAAUCUGCUUUUCUUAACCGAGCAGCUUUGCCAAAAAAAAAAAAAAAAAGAAAAAACACAAAGUUACCAACAAACACUAAACAAACCAAUAUAAACAAUACAUAUUAAAUAAGCCUAACCCUCCUAUGCUACUGAAAAGGCUUUUAUUUCCCUGGGAUAAUUUGGACAGCAUUAGAUUGUUUUACCAAGAGCAGCCAAGUCGAGGCAGAUUAUUUCUAAUUCCACAGUGCUGCAGAUGCGGUCAGUAGCAACUGCAAGCCGGAAAGGAAACAAAACAAAACAAAGUUGGGUGUAAUCCAUUCAAGUUCACACGUUUCACCAGGGACAGCCUCCAAGCCUUGAAUAGUUAGGUAAUUGGUUGCUGCCUGUCUGUCCUUUCCAACCAGGCUGUGAGGGCCAGUACGUCAAACAGCCUGUCAGUCUUGCUCACCAAGUGUCCAGACCACUGAACACGCACCGACCAGAGGAAAGGAAGGACUUGUCCCAAAGUCAACUCUCCAGACUUUCUGUGCAAGGAGGGAACGAACGGAGCACCCUCCAGCCUCACGCUUUCUCUUCCAUGCUUUCAAGUGUGGGGCACAUACCUCUGCUCACAACGCUCCCCGGACAGCCCCCACUGCACCCCUAACAGGUAGACUUCUGCACAGUCAAGGGCUUUGGAAAGCACUGGCUCUGCACACAAAUCUUACCAGCCUAUUUUCAAGUACCACGUCUGACUGGGCAAGGGAAACAAAAUACAAAAUGAACAAACGGGACUACAUCAAAAUUAGUCCCAUAUGGCCUAGGUGUGUAGGAGGCUCUGCCAUCCAGGUUUAGGAACUCCGUGGUGUUUGCACAGUCUCGAGAUUGCCUGACCAUGACACACUCCUCAGAACUCAUCCCCACUGUUAAGCAAAGCAUGACUAUACCGCCUUGGAUUCUCCACGGUCCCAGACCUGAACUGUUUAGAUGACUGCACACGCAGAGGGCACCGUGUCUGAGGCAGAGAGCAGCUGGAAUCACAAAAGCUCUCGACAGAGAGUCAAGGAAAGGCGUGCUCUGCUUACACGACUCUCUACUUUUCUCUGGGUCUGAACCAUUUCCUAGCUAAUCUGCUUUUUUUAACCGAGCAGCUUUGCCAAAAAAAAAAAAAAAAAGAAAAAACACAAAGUUACCAACAAACACUAAACAAACCAAUAUAAACAAUACAUAUUAAAUAAGCCUAACCCUACUAUGCUACUGAAAAGGCUUUUAUUUCCCUGGGAUAAUUUGGACAGCAUUAGAUUGUUUUACCAAGAGCAGCCAAGUCGAGGCAGAUUAUUUCUAAUUCCACAGUGCUGCAGAUGCGGUCAGUAGCAACUGCAAGCCGGAAAGGAAACAAAACAAAACAAAGUUGGGUGUAAUCCAUUCAAGUUCACACGUUUCACCAGGGACAGCCUCCAAGCCUUGAAUAGUCAGGUAUGCAUUUAGCCAUUCUUUAAUCAACCACUACUAACGCCUGCUAAAGGCCAGACACUGCUCUAAGUACUUUACGGAUAUGAAAUAUCCUCUCACCUUUACACUCAC